ACAGUACAUGACUUAAAGUGA
rnacentral:miRNA from 1 species